UACGGAGGGUGCAAGCGUUAUCCGGAUUCACUGGGUUUAAAGGGUGUGUAGGCGGGUAUUUAAGUCAGUGGUGAAAUCUCCAGGCUCAACCUGGAAACUGCCAUUGAUACUAUUUAUCUUGAAUUUUGUUGAGGUAGGCGGAAUAUGUCAUGUAGCGGUGAAAUGCUUAGAUAUGACAUAGAACACCAAUUGCGAAGGCAGCUUACUAAACAAACAUUGACGCUGAGGCACGAAAGCGUGGGGAUCAAACAGG
rnacentral:rRNA from 1 species